rnacentral:rRNA from 1 species
AUUGAACGCUGGCGGCAUGCUUUACACAUGCGAGUCGAACGGCAGCGCGGGCUUCGGCCUGGCGGCGAGUGGCGAACGGGUGAGUAAUACAUCGGAACGUGCCCAGUAGUGGGGGAUAGCUCGGCGAAAGCCGGAUUAAUACCGCAUACGACCUGAGGGUGAAAGCGGGGGAUCUUCGGACCUCGCGCUAUUGGAGCGGCCGAUGGCAGAUUAGCUAGUUGGUGGGGUAAAGGCCUACCAAGGCGACGAUCUGUAGCUGGUCUGAGAGGACGACCAGCCACACUGGGACUGAGACACGGCCCAGACUCCUACGGGAGGCAGCAGUGGGGAAUUUUGGACAAUGGGCGAAAGCCUGAUCCAGCAAUGCCGCGUGUGUGAUGAAGGCCUUCGGGUUGUAAAGCACUUUUGGCGGGAACGAAAAGGACUGUGCCAAUACCACGGUUCGAUGACGGUACCCGCAGAAUAAGCACCGGCUAACUACAUG